rnacentral:rRNA from 1 species
GAUGAACGCUGGCGGCGUGCCUAAUACAUGCAAGUCGAGCGCAUCCUUCGGGGUGAGUGGCAGACGGGUGAGUAACGCGUGGGAACGUGCCCUUCAGUUCGGGAUAACCCAGGGAAACUUGGGCCAAUACCGGAUACGUGCGAGAGCAGAAAGAUUUAUCGCUGAAGGAUCGGCCCGCGUCUGAUUAGCUAGUUGGUGGGGUAAUGGCCCGCCAAGGCGACGAUCAGUAGCUGGUCUGAGAGGAUGAUCAGCCACAUUGGGACUGAGACACGGCCCAAACUCCUACGGGAGGCAGCAGUGGGGAAUACUGGACAAUGGGCGCAAGCCUGAUCCAGCCAUGCCGCGUGAGUGAUGAAGGCCUUAGGGUUGUAAAGCUCUUUCGUCCGGGACGAUAAUGACGGUACCGGAAGAAGAAGCCCCGGCUAACUUCGUGCCAGCAGCCGCGGUAA